UACGGAGGAUGCGAGCGUUAUCCGGAUUUAUUGGGUUUAAAGGGUGCGCAGGCGGGCUGUUAAGCCGGCGGUAAAAAUUCAGGGCUCAACCCUGUCGAGCCGUCGGAACUGCCAAGCUAGAGUGUCGGAGAGGUAAGUGGAAUUCCUAGUGUAGCGGUGAAAUGCGUAGAUAUUAGGAGGAACACCAGUGGCGAAGGCGGCUUACUGGACGAUGACUGACGCUGAGGCUCGAAAGCGUGGGGAGCAAACAGG
rnacentral:rRNA from 1 species